GCGCAAAUGGUUUAGUGGUAAAAUCCAACGUUGCCAUCGUUAGCUGAGGGUUCGAUUCCGGGCUUGCGCA
rnacentral:tRNA from 1 species